rnacentral:rRNA from 1 species
GAUGAACGCUGGCGGCGUGCCUAAUACAUGCAAGUCGAGCGAACAGACGAGGAGCUUGCUCCUCUGACGUUAGCGGCGGACGGGUGAGUAACACGUGGAUAACCUACCUAUAAGACUGGGAUAACUUCGGGAAACCGGAGCUAAUACCGGAUAAUAUAUUGAACCGCAUGGUUCAAUAGUGAAAGACGGUUUUGCUGUCACUUAUAGAUGGAUCCGCGCCGCAUUAGCUAGUUGGUAAGGUAACGGCUUACCAAGGCAACGAUGCGUAGCCGACCUGAGAGGGGGAUCGGCCACACUGGAACUGAGACACGGUCCAGACUCCUAAGGGAGGCAGCAGUAGGGAAUCUUCCGCAAUGGGCGAAAGCCUGACGGAGCAACGCCGCGUGAGUGAUGAAGGUCUUCGGAUCGUAAAACUCUGUUAUUAGGGAAGAACAAAUGUGUAAGUAACUAUGCACGUCUAGACGGUACCUAAUCAGAAAGCCACGGCUAACUACGUG